rnacentral:rRNA from 1 species
UGAUUUUUUUAUUUUAUAAUAAGAUUGAUUCUGUCUUUAUUAAAAAUUUGAUUGGCUAUUUUUUUGAUUGUAUUAAAUACAAGUUUUUGCGUGAAAUUUAUUUUAUCUUAAAGGUAUUUUAUUUAUUUUAUCUGUAGUUUUUAUUUUU